UACAGAGGUCCCAAGCGUUGUUCGGAUUCACUGGGCGUAAAGGGUGCGUAGGCGGGACCGUAAGUCCGAGAGGAAAUCUCAAGGCUCAACUUUGGGGCUUUCUUGGAUACUGCGGUUCUUGAGGAUGAGAGAGGUAAGCAGAAUUCCCGGUGUAGCGGUGAAAUGCGUAGAUAUCGGGAGGAAUACCAGUGGCGAAGGCGGCUUACUGGCUCAUUCCUGACGCUGAGGAGCGAAAGCGUGGGGAGCAAACGGG
rnacentral:rRNA from 1 species